AAGAAAUCACAGUUGUUGUCACCAUGCAUACAUUCGAUUCAUUCAAACUGAAUUCGUGAGCGCAUGGGGCAGGCAGGGAGUAAAAAACAGAGCACAAUUAAACACGACAGUCUCGGGACCAACUCGCCCGCGUCAAUCCAACAGCCAUCCAUAGUUCGUUCGAGCAGGGUGUACAAGAUCGGUGAUUGUGUACGGCUCCAUGGUGCCGAUUGUCGUUUUGUAUAUAUCAAUCAUCCGUAACUGCGGGAGAUUCUGGAAAUCGUUCUUCUUGACGAUCAACAUUGUGCCGAAUCUUAUAGUGAGUCGGACGACGUAGGGCAGAGGCCCCACUGCACAGA